UAGAAGAUUUUUCGCCCCUUCCAAGAUUUCACGACGAAAUUCUGCAAAUAUAGAUGAUUUUUCGCCCCUUCCAAGAUUUCACGACGAAAUUCUGCAAAUAUAGAUGAUUUUUCGCCCCUUCCAAGAUUUCAUGACGAAAUGCUGCAAAUAUGGAAGAUUUUUGGCCUCUUCCAAGAUUUCACGACGAAAUUCUGCAAAUAUAGAUGAUUUUUCGCCCCUUCCAAGAUUUCAUGACAAAUGCUGCAAAUAUGGAAGAUUUUUGGCCCCUUCCAAGAUUUCAUGACGAAAUGCUGCAAAUAUGGAAGAUUUUUGGCCUCUUCCAAGAUUUCACGACGAAAUGCUGCAAAUAUAGAAGAUU